GACGAACGCUGGCGGCGUGCUUAACACAUGCAAGUCGAACGAAGAGCGAUGGAAGCUUGCUUCUAUCAAUCUUAGUGGCGAACGGGUGAGUAACGCGUAAUCAACCUGCCCUUCAGAGGGGGACAACAGUUGGAAACGACUGCUAAUACCGCAUACGAUCUAAUCUCGGCAUCGAGGAUAGAUGAAAGGUGGCCUCUACAUGUAAGCUAUCACUGAAGGAGGGGAUUGCGUCUGAUUAGCUAGUUGGAGGGGUAACGGCCCACCAAGGCGAUGAUCAGUAGCCGGUCUGAGAGGAUGAACGGCCACAUUGGGACUGAGACACGGCCCAGACUCCUACGGGAGGCAGCAGUGGGGAAUCUUCCGCAAUGGACGAAAGUCUGACGGAGCAACGCCGCGUGAGGGAUGACGGCCUUCGGGUUGUAAAGCUCUGUUAAUCGGGACGAAAGGCCUUCUUGCGAAUAGUGAGAAGGAUUGACGGUACCGGAAGAGAAAGCCACGGCUAACUACGUG
rnacentral:rRNA from 1 species